rnacentral:rRNA from 1 species
UACGUAGGGGGCAAGCGUUGUCCGGAUUUACUGGGCGUAAAGAGCGUGUAGGCGGCCAAACAGGUCCGUUGUGAAAACUGGAGGCUCAACCUCCAGACGUCGACGGAAACCGUGUGGCUAGAGUCCGGAAGAGGAGAGUGGAAUUCCUGGUGUAGCGGUGAAAUGCGCAGAUAUCAGGAAGAACACCAAUGGCGAAGGCAGC